UUCCGUAGGUGAACCUGCGGAGGGAUCAUUACCGAGUUUACAACUCCCAAACCCAAUGUGAACGUUACCAAACUGUUGCCUCGGCGGGGUCACGCCCCGGGUGCGUCGCAGCCCCGGAACCAGGCGCCCGCCGGAGGAACCAACCAAACUCUUUCUGUAGUCCCCUCGCGGACGUAUUUCUUACAGCUCUGAGCAAAAAUUCAAAAUGAAUCAAAACUUUCAACAACGGAUCUCUUGGUUCUGGCAUCGAUGAAGAACGCAGCGAAAUGCGAUAAGUAAUGUGAAUUGCAGAAUUCAGUGAAUCAUCGAAUCUUUGAACGCACAUUGCGCCCGCCAGUAUUCUGGCGGGCAUGCCUGUCCGAGCGUCAUUUCAACCCUCGAACCCCUCCGGGGGAUCGGCGUUGGGGAUCGGGACCCCUCACACGGGUGCCGGCCCCUAAAUACAGUGGCGGUCUCGCCGCAGCCUCUCCUGCGCAGUAGUUUGCACAACUCGCACCGGGAGCGCGGCGCGUCCACGUCCGUAAAACACCCAACUUUCUGAAAUGUUGACCUCGGAUCAGGUAGGAAUACCCGCUGAACUUAAGCAUAUCAAUAAGCGGAGGAA
rnacentral:rRNA from 1 species